rnacentral:tRNA from 1 species
UUUGGUAUAGUAUAAAAAUUAUAUUUCGUUUACAAAGAAAAGAUGUUUCCUGCCAAAA